GUAGAUAUGACUGUGUGAACUUUCAAUUUGAGAGAUGUGUGUAUUGUAGAAGGAGAAUAAUAAUCAAAGUUCAUGUUUCGUGUAGCUUUCUGAGGCGUGCAAAUGGAGUGAUCGAUUGAUAUCGCAACACAUAGAGUGUAACAUUUAACCUGGAAGUGGAAUGUGCACGUUUGAAUACAAGUUAUACCAUCAGGAACUUUAGCUUCUUUGGAUUGAGCUAGAUAGAAGACAUGAAUAUGUAUGAUGACAACAUAAAAUGGUAAUAAUUGUUUGCUAUGUAGAGGGGUAGCAAUUCUAUGUAUGAGGUGGAUAGUGUCAACUUUUAUGAUGUAGUAACUCUCUUGAUUUGUAGAAAAAAUCUUCUCAAUCUCUCUUAUAUAGUCUGGUAAUUGUUUACUAUAUGUAGAG